UUAACCAACAGGUGUGCAUGCUGGGAAAACAACAGCUUACUAUGGUAGCUGAGGACCCUCACGGAAAUUUCUUAAGUUCAGUUAAAAACUUUCGCCUAAAGACCCCAGCGAGGUUUCUUGUGGGUUUUCUGCUGUUCAAGACUCAAGACUGUGUCCGUCGAGAAGGCUUGUUGUCAUUCUGCUAAAAUGUUUGGAGACGUCGACGUCCGCAGUGGGGCAAAGAAGCUGAGUGUGUAUUAUGACAAUACAGCUGGAGGAGGAAUUACCAACAGGAAAGGACUCUUCAUCAGCCCAGGAGUAUUCGCAAACAUGGCAGUGAAACCUAUCAAGCUCCAAGCUUGCCAAACAACAGCAGGUGGCUGCUAAAGAAUCAUCUGAUGCCCUACUUAAUCAUCCUGUUACACAUGGGAAAUAAUAUCAAGAACGAUUUGUAAACGGUAAUAUUGCAUUCAUACUGAUUACAAAUGACCUAGUGCAAUGUCAAAGGUGUUGGUUGUUGUGGCAGUAACAGAAAAAAUAAAAACUAUUGCCCAUCUA